GGGUUGUGAGGUUAAGCGACUAAGCGUACACGGUGGAUGCCCUGGCAGUCAGAGGCGAUGAAGGACGUGCUAAUCUGCGAAAAGCGCCGGCGAGGUGAUAUGAACCUUUGACCCGGCGAUGUCCGAAUGGGGAAACCCAGUGUGAUUCGUCACACUAUCGUUAACUGAAUACAUAGGUUAACGAGGCGAACCGGGGGAACUGAAACAUCUAAGUACCCCGAGGAAAAGAAAUCAACCGAGAUUCCCCCAGUAGCGGCGAGCGAACGGGGAGCAGCCCAGAGUCUGAAUCAGCUUGUGUGUUAGUGGAAGCGUCUGGAAAGUCGCACGGUACAGGGUGACAGUCCCGUACACGAAAGCACACAGGUUGUGAACUCGAAGAGUAGGGCGGGACACGUGGUAUCCUGUCUGAAUAUGGGGGGACCAUCCUCCAAGGCUAAAUACUCCUGACUGACCGAUAGUGAACCAGUACCGUGAGGGAAAGGCGAAAAGAACCCCGGCGAGGGGAGUGAAAAAGAACCUGAAACCGUGUACGUACAAGCAGUGGGAGCACCUUCGUGGUGUGACUGCGUACCUUUUGUAUAAUGGGUCAGCGACUUAUAUUCUGUAGCAAGGUUAACCGUAUAGGGGAGCCGAAGGGAAACCGAGUCUUAACUGGGCGUUAAGUUGCAGGGUAUAGACCCGAAACCCGGUGAUCUAGCCAUGGGCAGGUUGAAGGUUGGGUAACACUAACUGGAGGACCGAACCGACUAAUGUUGAAAAAUUAGCGGAUGACUUGUGGCUGGGGGUGAAAGGCCAAUCAAACCGGGAGAUAGCUGGUUCUCCCCGAAAGCUAUUUAGGUAGCGCCUCGUGAACUCAUCUUCGGGGGUAGAGCACUGUUUCGGCUAGGGGGCCAUCCCGGCUUACCAACCCGAUGCAAACUACGAAUACCGAAGAAUGUUAUCACGGGAGACACACGGCGGGUGCUAACGUCCGUCGUGAAGAGGGAAACAACCCAGACCGCCAGCUAAGGUCCCAAAGUCAUGGUUAAGUGGGAAACGAUGUGGGAAGGCACAGACAGCCAGGAUGUUGGCUUAGAAGCAGCCAUCAUUUAAAGAAAGCGUAAUAGCUCACUGGUCGAGUCGGCCUGCGCGGAAGAUGUAACGGGGCUAAACCAUGCACCGAAGCUGCGGCAGCGACACUAUGUGUUGUUGGGUAGGGGAGCGUUCUGUAAGCCGUUGAAGGUGUGCUGUGAGGCAUGCUGGAGGUAUCAGAAGUGCGAAUGCUGACAUAAGUAACGAUAAAGCGGGUGAAAAGCCCGCUCGCCGGAAGACCAAGGGUUCCUGUCCAACGUUAAUCGGGGCAGGGUGAGUCGACCCCUAAGGCGAGGCCGAAAGGCGUAGUCGAUGGGAAACAGGUUAAUAUUCCUGUACUUGGUGUUACUGCGAAGGGGGGACGGAGAAGGCUAUGUUAGCCGGGCGACGGUUGUCCCGGUUUAAGCAUGUAGGCGGAACGAUUAGGUAAAUCCGGUCGUUUUUUAACGCUGAGGUGUGAUGACGAGGCACUACGGUGCUGAAGUAACAAAUGCCCUGCUUCCAGGAAAAGCCUCUAAGCAUCAGGUAACAUCAAAUCGUACCCCAAACCGACACAGGUGGUCAGGUAGAGAAUACCAAGGCGCUUGAGAGAACUCGGGUGAAGGAACUAGGCAAAAUGGUGCCGUAACUUCGGGAGAAGGCACGCUGAUAUGUAGGUGAAGCCCCUGCGGGUGGAGCUGAAAUCAGUCGAAGAUACCAGCUGGCUGCAACUGUUUAUUAAAAACACAGCACUGUGCAAACACGAAAGUGGACGUAUACGGUGUGACGCCUGCCCGGUGCCGGAAGGUUAAUUGAUGGGGUUAGCGGCAACGCGAAGCUCUUGAUCGAAGCCCCGGUAAACGGCGGCCGUAACUAUAACGGUCCUAAGGUAGCGAAAUUCCUUGUCGGGUAAGUUCCGACCUGCACGAAUGGCGUAAUGAUGGCCAGGCUGUCUCCACCCGAGACUCAGUGAAAUUGAACUCGCUGUGAAGAUGCAGUGUACCCGCGGCAAGACGGAAAGACCCCGUGAACCUUUACUAUAGCUUGACACUGAACACUGGUCCUUGAUGUGUAGGAUAGGUGGGAGGCUUUGAAGUGUGGACGCCAGUCUGCAUGGAGCCGUCCUUGAAAUACCACCCUUUAAUGGCUGGUGUUCUAACGUAGACCCGUAAUCCGGGUUGCGGACAGUGUCUGGUGGGUAGUUUGACUGGGGCGGUCUCCUCCCAAAGAGUAACGGAGGAGCACGAAGGUUAGCUAAUCCUGGUCGGACAUCAGGAGGUUAGUGCAAUGGCAUAAGCUAGCUUGACUGCGAGAGUGACGGCUCGAGCAGGUGCGAAAGCAGGUCAUAGUGAUCCGGUGGUUCUGAAUGGAAGGGCCAUCGCUCAACGGAUAAAAGGUACUCCGGGGAUAACAGGCUGAUACCGCCCAAGAGUUCAUAUCGACGGCGGUGUUUGGCACCUCGAUGUCGGCUCAUCACAUCCUGGGGCUGAAGUAGGUCCCAAGGGUAUGGCUGUUCGCCAUUUAAAGUGGUACGCGAGCUGGGUUUAGAACGUCGUGAGACAGUUCGGUCCCUAUCUGCCGUGGGCGCUGGAGAAUUGAGGGGGGCUGCUCCUAGUACGAGAGGACCGGAGUGGACGCAUCACUGGUGUUCGGGUUGUCAUGCCAAUGGCACUGCCCGGUAGCUAAAUGCGGAAAAGAUAAGUGCUGAAAGCAUCUAAGCACGAAACUUGCCCCGAGAUGAGUUCUCCCUGAGACUUUAAGUCUCCUGAAGGAACGUUGAAGACGACGACGUUGAUAGGUCGGGUGUGUAAGCGCAGCGAUGCGUUGAGCUAACCGAUACUAAUGAACCGUGAGGCUUAACCUUACAACGCCGAAGGUGUUU
rnacentral:rRNA from 2 species